rnacentral:rRNA from 1 species
CCUACGGGGGGCUGCAGUGGGGAAUAUUGGACAAUGGGGGGAACCCUGAUCCAGCCAUGCCGCGUGUGUGAAGAAGGCCCUCGGGUUGUAAAGCACUUUCAGUGAGGAAGAACGCCUGGUGGUUAAUACCCAUCAGGAAAGACAUCACUCACAGAAGAAGCACCGGCUAACUCCGUGCCAGCAGCCGCGGUAAUACGGAGGGUGCGAGCGUUAAUCGGAAUUACUGGGCGUAAAGCGCGCGUAGGUGGCUUGAUAAGCCGGUUGUGAAAGCCCCGGGCUCAACCUGGGAACGGCAUCCGGAACUGUCAAGCUAGAGUGCAGGAGAGGAAGGUAGAAUUCCCGGUGUAGCGGUGAAAUGCGUAGAGAUCGGGAGGAAUACCAGUGGCGAAGGCGGCCUUCUGGACUGACACUGACACUGAGGUGCGAAAGCGUGGGUAGCACACAGGAUUAGAUACCCUGGUAGUC